rnacentral:rRNA from 1 species
CGCGAAACCUCUGCAAUAGGCGAAAGCUUGACAGGGUUACUCUGAGUGAUUUCCGUUAAGGAGAUCUUUUGGCACCUCUAAAAAUGGUGCAGAAUAAGGGGUGGGCAAGUCUGGUGUCAGCCGCCGCGGUAAUACCAGCACCCCGAGUGGUCGGGACGUUUAUUGGGCCUAAAGCAUCCGUAGCCGGUUCUACAAGUCUUCCGUUAAAUCCACCUGCUUAACAGAUGGGCUGCGGAAGAUACUAUAGAGCUAGGAGGCGGGAGAGGCAAGCGGUACUCGAUGGGUAGGGGUAAAAUCCGUUGAUCCAUUGAAGACCACCAGUGGCGAAGGCGGCUUGCCAGAACGCGCUCGACGGUGAGGGAUGAAAGCUGGGGGAGCAAACCGGAUUAGAUACCCGGGUAGUCCCAGCUGUAAACGAUGCAGACUCGGUGAUGAAUUGGCUUAUUGCUAANUCAGUGCCGCANGAAGC